ACCCUAUAAAAUGGAACCCUAAGGAUCCAUUCUUUCUUCAGUUUUCUCCAAGCAACAAAAGGUAGCUCUAAGCCACGGGUUUAUUGACGUACGAUUCGAUCAUGAAGACGAAGACCACCACCGCCUUCUUCAUGAAGACGAAGACAACCACCGCCUUCUUCCUUGUACUAUUUGUAACCCUACUUCUGACCCUUGGACCUCUUCAAGCGGCCGAUGCUGAAAAAGCCAACUACCGUCGGCUCCUAAGCGACGACUGGAAUUUUGGACCGGAAACAUCAUCCACUGACGGAAAAGACGGCCACCACUACACCAUAACUGAAAACCCACCAGCUUCAUGGGGCAAACAAAAGGAUAACCAAGGUCGCCCCUAAUAUCAGAACCAAGCUUGAAGGGGGUACUUUAUAGUAUGUGCUAUGUUAUUAUGGUCCUGACCAAUCAUCUCAUGGUACACCCAUGUGGUUGGCCAACUUGGCCUAUAGAAAACGUAUGUGGUUACUGAAAUAUGAUAACUUUUGUGUGACUUGUUUGGUCUAUGUGAUCAUGGUUGGCAUGGCUUGUAGUCCAAGUAUCAUGCUUUGUGUUUGUAAGAUACUAAAUAGAAAUCUUAAAUAAAAUGACCAUGCCUGGCUUGAUGGAAGCAUGGUUCUUGUGUGGACUUA